rnacentral:rRNA from 1 species
CCUACGGGAGGCAGCAGUGAGGAAUAUUGGUCAAUGGUCGGGAGACUGAACCAGCCAAGCCGCGUGAGGGAUGAAGGUACAGAGUAUCGUAAACCUCUUUUGUCAGGGAACAAAGGCGGGGACGCGUCCCCGAAUGAGUGUACCUGAAGAAAAAGCAUCGGCUAACUCCGUGCCAGCAGCCGCGGUAAUACGCAGGAUGCGGGCGUUCUCCGGAGUUAUGGGGUUUAAGGGGUGCGCAGGCGGUCUGUUAAGUCAGUGGGAAAAGCCCGGGGCUCAACCCCGGCCCGCCGUUGAAACUGGCAGUCUCGAGUUGGAGAGAAGUAUGCGGAAUGCGCGGUGUAGCGGUGAAAUGCAUAGAUAUCGCGCAGAACUCCGAUUGCGAAGGCAGCAUGCCGGCUCCACACUGACGCUGAGGCACGAAAGCGUGGGUAUCGAACAGGAUUAGAUACCCCAGUAGUC